rnacentral:rRNA from 1 species
AUUGAACGCUGGCGGCAUGCUUUACACAUGCAAGUCGAACGGUAACAGGCCUUCGGGUGCUGACGAGUGGCGAACGGGUGAGUAAUGCAUCGGAACGUACCCAGAGGUGGGGGAUAACGCAGCGAAAGCUGUGCUAAUACCGCAUGUGAUCUGAGGAUGAAAGCGGGGGACCGAGCAGCAAUGUUUGGCCUCGCGCCUUUGGAGCGGCCGAUGUCGGAUUAGCUAGUUGGUGGGGUAAAGGCCUACCAAGGCGACGAUCCGUAGCUGGUCUGAGAGGACGACCAGCCACACUGGGACUGAGACACGGCCCAGACUCCUACGGGAGGCAGCAAUGGGGAAUUUUGGACAAUGGGCGCAAGCCUGAUCCGGCAAUGCCGCGUGCGGGAAGAAGGCCUUCGGGUUGUAAACCGCUUUUGGCAGGAACGAAACGGUGUCCGCUAAUACCGGGCGCUAAUGACGGUACCUGCAGAAUAAGCACCGGCUAACUACGUG